GGUCAGUAGGUUGGUCGUGCUACCGGUACGUACUGGUCUCACUGAUUCCUCCUUCCUGAAGAACCGUAAUGCCAUUAAUUUGGUGUUGCGGGGAAACAGGACUGUUACUUUGAAAAAAUUAGAGUGUUAAAAGCAAGCUAACGCUUGAAUACAUUAGCAUGGAAUAAUGAAAUAGGACGAUCGAUCCUAUUUUGUUGGUUUCUAGGAUUGACGUA
rnacentral:rRNA from 1 species